AUGAGAGAUCCGGUAGUGCUAUGGGAGAUCCGGCUGUUGGAGCAGCCCUGGCAGUGCCGAUGGUCUGGCAACGCCACUAAGCUCCGAUCACUUGCCGACGUAAGUUGGCAGCACUGUCAGCUGUUGUUCUCAGCUGCACCAAAUUGCAAAGUCAUAAAAAAAAUUUAACAAUUUGCCUGUCGCUCGCGUUUUCCAUUCACUGUUUAUCGCGCCGAAAUGAUGCACAUUAGCACCGAGUGGCUUUGGGCAGUUAUUCCGCCAAACUCGCCCAGCCGUCUUCGUGAUAAAGGAUUAAGUCUCCGAUUAUUAAAUUCGUUUUUUUGUAUUAAAAUUUUCUACUCGUGAUAAUUGUUAAAUGAGUAGUUCAGCGCAGUGACCGAAAAUGAGAGGGAGAGAUGUGAGGAGACAAAAUCAGAGUAGAGAAAAAAACGUUCUAAUAAUUGUUACAAGGGAUCAUUGUGGUCGGAAAUACCCUAGCACGGGCCUGUCAGAAUAUUCGGUUUCGUUUUCCACCUUUCCCCCCAUUCCUUUUGGUUUUACAUUCAAUAGUAGAACGGGGCAAAUGGUAUUUUGUUUUAACUAUGUUUCAACGUGAAAUAUAUAAAACCGAUAGCAUAAGCACAUUAGAAGGUCAGCAGGCAGCGCAUAAGGCCUUAGCCCACGCACUGGCAUGUGUAAAAAAACAAUGCAGAGAAAAAAAG